AGUUCUAGUUCAUUUACUUUGAGAAAAUUAGAGUGUUUAAAGCAGCCUCUUGGGGCACUGAAUACAUUAGCAUGGGAUAAUAAAAUAGGAUCUUCACAAUAUAUUUUAUUGGUUUAAAUUGCGUAUGAAGAUAAUGAUUAAUAGGGACAGUUGGGGUAUUCAUAUUGGGUGGUUAGCGGUGAAAAUGCUCGGAUCCAUUCAAGAUGAACUAAAGCGAAGGCAUUUACCAAGGAUGUUUUCAUUAAUCAAGAACGAAAGUUAAGGGAUCGAAGACGAUUAGAUACCGUCGUAGUCUUAACUAUAAACUAUGCCGACCAGGGAUAUGAGUUGUUAGGAAUAUAUGAAAGUAUAUUCAAUUUCUUCUUAUGAACCUUGUGAGAAAUCAUAAGUUUUUUGGGUUCUGGGGGGGAGUAUGGUCGCAAGGCUGA
rnacentral:rRNA from 1 species